rnacentral:rRNA from 1 species
UACGAAGGGGGCUAGCAUUGCUCGGAAUCACUGGGCGUAAAGGGUGCGUAGGCGGGUCUUUAAGUCAGGGGUGAAAUCCUGGAGCUCAACUCCAGAACUGCCUUUGAUACUGAAGAUCUUGAGUUCGGGAGAGGUGAGUGGAACUGCGAGUGUAGAGGUGAAAUUCGUAGAUAUUCGCAAGAACACCAGUGGCGAAGGCGGCUCACUGGCCCGGUACUGACGCUGAGGUGCGAAAGCCAGGGGAGCAAACGGG